GAUGAACGCUGGCGGCGUGCCUAAUACAUGCAAGUCGAGCGAAGCGGGGACGGGUGAGUAACACGUGGAUAACCUCCUAUAAGGAUGGGAUCACGUCGGGAAACCGGAGCUAAACCGGAUACUUAGAGAGGGAACCGCGCUGCAUUAGCUAGUUGGUAAGGUAACGGCUGACCAAGGCCACGAUGCAUAGCCGACCUGAGAGGGUGAUCGGCCACACUGGAACUGAGACACGGUCCAGACUCCUACGGGAGGCAGCAGUAGGGAAUCUUCCGCAAUGGGCGAAAGCCUGACGGAGCCACGCCGCGUGAGUGAUGAAGGUCUUCGGAUCGUAAAACUCUGUUAUUAGGGAAGCGGUACCUACUCAGAAAGCCACGGCUAACUUCGUGCCAGCAGCCGCGGUAAUUC
rnacentral:rRNA from 1 species